UGCAGCUCAGCUGCUGGUGGCUCCAUAUCAGGAGCACCAGACUCCAGGGCUGCCUUGAGGUAAAGAGACUGGAGGGCUCAGUUUCAAUAAAUAAUACAUAGUCUCAGGUACAACGCACCUGCAAGUAUCUGCUGUGCAGCAUCAGGAGGUGGGCAUCGUUGUCUGCAUCUCUCCCAGACUCAGCAGGGCACCUGUUGUCCUUGGAGCCACUCUGGAAAAAGCUGGUAUCCUGACAACCAGGAAUACCUUCCAAGCAAGAUGAAGAAAACCACGCCCAUAGUGAAUGACUCAUCUCACUCUGAAUCAGCCGACCACCAGAUCCUGAGCCCUUCAGCAAUGCAGCUCACCAUGUUGGCUUCUUUCCUGAGACAUGGAAUCUCAAGGCAGUGUGAAGCCAUUCAGUACUCUGGCCAGCCUGCAUAAAUCGCCUGCUCUCUUUCACAGCCUUCCCUGAAAAUAAAGCGACUGCACACAGACGGCGGCGGCGUAUGAAAAUAAAGCCAGGGCUUCCUCUGAGCCUUUCUGCUUGCAUAGCAGUGCAGUGUAUUUCAAUUAACAUCCAACCUUCUCCAACAGUGCUACUUCAGUAUUUGUAAGAGCCUGCCUUUUAGAAUUUAAUACUCAGACAGCCAUUUUGCAAAAAAAAAAAAAAAAACCCA
rnacentral:lncRNA from 1 species